CGGACGGGUGAGUAACGCGUGGGUAACCUACCCUGUACACACGGAUAACAUACCGAAAGGUAUGCUAAUACGGGAUAAUAUAUUUGAGAGGCAUCUCUUGAAUAUCAAAGGUGAGCCAGUACAGGAUGGACCCGCGUCUGAUUAGCUAGUUGGUAAGGUAACGGCUUACCAAGGCGACGAUCAGUAGCCGACCUGAGAGGGUGAUCGGCCACAUUGGAACUGAGACACGAUCCAA
rnacentral:rRNA from 1 species